GGAGUUAGCCGGUGCUUCUUCUGUGAGUGAUGUCCUUCCUGCCGGCUAUUAACCCGCAGGCCUUCUUCCUCACUGAAAGUGCUUUACAACCCGAAGGCCUUCUUCACACACGCGGCAUGGCUGGAUCAGGGUUGCCCCCAUUGUCCAAUAUUCCCCACUGCUGCCUCCCGUAGGAGUCUGGGCCGUGUCUCAGUCCCAGUGUGGCUGAUCAUCCUCUCAGACCAGCUACGGAUCGUCGCCUUGGUGAGCCGUUACCUCACCAACCAGCUAAUCCGACAUAGGCUCAUCCGAUAGCGCGAGGCCCGAAGGUCCCCCGCUUUCCCCCGUAGGGCGUAUGCGGUAUUAGCCUGGGUUUCCCCAGGUUAUCCCCCACUACCGGGCAGAUUCCUAUGCAUUACUCACCCGUCCGCCGCUCGCCACCAGGGAGCAAGCUCCCCGUGCUGCCGCUCGACUUGCAUGUGUUAGGUCGUCGCCGCCGACGCGUUCUACUACUGAGCACUGAUACAACCUACUCGA
rnacentral:rRNA from 1 species